rnacentral:rRNA from 1 species
AACGAACGCUGGCGGCAUGCCUAACACAUGCAAGUCGAACGAGACCGCCCGGUCUAGGGGCGCACGUGUGCGUAACGCGUGGGAACCUGCCCGUAGGUUCGGUAUAACUCACCUAAAGGGGUGCUAAGACCGGAUAAGGUCUUCGCACCUAGGAGCUAGGGCUGCUGGAUGGGCCCGAGUUGGAUUAGCUGGUUGGGAGGGUAAAAGCCUACUAAGGCGACGAUCCAUGGCUGGUCGGUGAGGAUGCUCAGCCACACUGGGACGGGGACAAGGCCCAGACUCGUGCGGGAGGCAGGAGAGGGGGAUAUUGGACAAGGGGCGAGAGCCUGAUCCAGCACGGCCGGGUGAGUGAUGAAGGCGUUAGAGUUGUAAAGCUCUUUUACCCGGGAGGGUAAUGACGGUACCGGUAGAAUAAGCCCCGGCUACCUCCGU